rnacentral:tRNA from 1 species
GGUUUAGCUCAGUGGUAGAGUGCUUGGCUGGCAUGCAUGAGGCCUGGGUUCAAUCCCAGGAACUA